rnacentral:rRNA from 1 species
UACGUAGGGUGCAAGCGUUAAUCGGAAUUACUGGGCGUAAAGCGUGCGCAGGCGGUUUUGUAAGUCAGAUGUGAAAUCCCCGGGCUUAACCUGGGAACUGCGUUUGAAACUACAAGGCUAGAGUGUGGCAGAGGGGGGUGGAAUUCCACGUGUAGCAGUGAAAUGCGUAGAGAUGUGGAGGAACACCGAUGGCGAAGGCAGCCUCCUGGGCUAGUACUGACGCUCAUGCACGAAAGCGUGGGGAGCAAACAAG